rnacentral:rRNA from 1 species
GACGGUACCUGAGGAAUAAGCAUCGGCUAACUCCGUGCCAGCAGCCGCGGUAAUACGGAGGAUGCAAGCGUUAUCCGGAAUGAUUGGGCGUAAAGGGUCCGCAGGUGGCAUUGUUUGUCUGCUGUUAAAGAGUUUGGCUCAACCAAAUAAGAGCAGUGGAAACUACAAAGCUAGAGUAUGGUCGGGGCAGAGGGAAUUCCUGGUGUAGCGGUGAAAUGCGUAGAUAUCAGGAAGAACACCGGUGGCGAAGGCGCUCUGCUAGGCCAAAACUGACACUGAGGGACGAAAGCUAGGGGAGCGAAUGGGAUUAGAUACCCCAGUAGUCCUAGCCGUAAACGAUGGAUACUAGGCGUAGCUCGUAUCGACCCGAGCUGUGCCGUAGCUAACGCGUUAAGUAUCCCGCCUGGGGAGUACGCAGGCAACUGUGAAACUC